UCGUGUAAGAGAGAGAGGAGAGAAGGGAAGAAGAAAACCUUGAUAAUUUUACCCCCAAAUCUGCAUUUUAAGGAAGAAUCAUGGCUGAAAAUUAUUAAUGUGAAGUGAUAUUAUUAACAUCUACCAUUUCUAAGCCAAGGGUCGAAGAAAGGAGGAGAAUCAAGCCAAGCAAAGGCAAUAGGAGCGCAUAACUAUGGGUCGAAGAAAGGAGGAAAAUCAAGCCAAGCAAAGGCAAUAGGAGCGCACAACUCCGGUGAAUCUCACUCUUGAUAAUGUCGAGCUUGGAUCGAACACACUACAUCGCCCUUUAUGCGCUUCCGGUUUAGUCGUCUUUAUAAAUGGGUCAAAACACUUUCACAAUGUAAAUGUUAAGUUUAUGUCUAAGAUGUUUCGUAAGUAAAUUAGGAUUUUAAAUCUUAUUUUUGGUAGUUCGGACAAAACACUUUUGAUGGAAUCUUAUAUGGUUAUAACUUAUAUGUCU